GAUGAACGCUGGCGGCGUGCCUAAUACAUGCAAGUCGAGCGAACAGACGAGGAGCUUGCUCCUCUGACGUUAGCGGCGGACGGGUGAGUAACACGUGGAUAACCUACCUAUAAGACUGGGAUAACUUCGGGAAACCGGAGCUAAUACCGGAUAAUAUAUUGAACCGCAUGGUUCAAUAGUGAAAGACGGUUUUGCUGUCACUUAUAGAUGGAUCCGCGCCGCAUUAUCUAGUUGGUAAGGUAACGGCUUACCAAGGCGACGAUGCGUAGCCGACCUGAGAGGGUGAUCGGCCACACUGGAACUGAGACACGGUCCAGACUCCUACGGGAGGCAGCAGUAGGGAAUCUUCCGCAAUGGGCGAAAGCCUGACGGAGCAACGCCGCGUGAGGGAUGAAGGUCUUCGGAUCGUAAAACUCUGUUAUUAGGGAAGAACAAAUGUGUAAGUAACUAUGCACGUCUUGACGGUACCUAAUCAGAAAGCCACGGCUAACUACGUG
rnacentral:rRNA from 1 species